rnacentral:rRNA from 1 species
UACGUAGGGGGCUAGCGUUGUCCGGAAUCAUUGGGCGUAAAGCGCGCGUAGGCGGCCAGAUAAGUCCGGUGUGAAAGUCACAGGCUCAACCUGUGGAUGCCGCUGGAAACUGUUUGGCUCGAGUCCGGAAGGGGCGAGUGGAAUUCCUGGUGUAGCGGUGAAAUGCGCAGAUAUCAGGAGGAACACCAAUGGCGAAGGCAGCUCGCUGGGACGGUACUGACGCUGAGGCGCGAAAGCAUGGGGAGCAAACAGG